CAGAAGAACAGUCAGUCCUGUUUCCCGAGUUUUAGAAUCACAGAAAACAACAAAGCUAGGGAAUCAGUCCAACUUCUGCAGUUCAGACAUGAAACUGUAAGAGAGGACAGCUUGCUCUAUCAGCUGUUGUGUGCUUCAGGCUGCUGCUGAUGGAGAGAGCACCAGAGGCUCGUGCUGCCACCUGCUGGAAGAACAAAGAAAUACAGACGUACUCAACUCCACACUGCUGCUCCUUCUGCCCAAAAACCACCAACUUAGACAACAAUUCUCCAGGGUGCAUGAAUGAGAAAUCUCAUAAAGGUUACUGCUGAUGUAGCCAGUAUGCAGGACAGCUGAUUAGGGUUCUCAUCAGUUAUUGACGGGUUAUUGUGUGG